rnacentral:rRNA from 1 species
UACGUAGGGUGCAAGCAUUGUCCGGAAUUAUUGGGCGUAAAGAGCUCGUAGGCGGUCUGUCGCGUCUGCUGUGAAAACUCAGGGCUUAACCCUGAGCUUGCAGUGGGUACGGGCAGACUAGAGUGCGGUAGGGGAGACUGGAAUUCCUGGUGUAGCGGUGAAAUGCGCAGAUAUCAGGAGGAACACCGGUGGAGAAGGCGGGUCUCUGGGCCGUAACUGACGCUGAGGAGCGAAAGCAUGGGGAGCGAACAGG